rnacentral:rRNA from 1 species
UACGUAGGGGGCAAGCGUUGUCCGGAAUCAUUGGGCGUAAAGAGCGUGUAGGCGGCUCGAUAAGUCUGCUGUGAAAGUCCAGGGCUCAACCCUGGAAGGCCGGUGGAAACUGUCGGGCUAGAGUCCGGAAGAGGCGAGUGGAAUUCCCGGUGUAGCGGUGAAAUGCGCAGAUAUCAGGAGGAACACCGAUGGCGAAGGCAGGUCUCUGGGCCACUACUGACGCUGGAGAAGCGAAAGCAUGGGGAGCGAACAGG